rnacentral:rRNA from 1 species
UGGGACCCUAGUGGCGGACGGGUGAGUAACGCGUGGGUAACCUGCCCCAUACCGGGGGAUAACACUUAGAAAUAGGUGCUAAUACCGCAUAAGCGCACGGUACUGCAUGGUACAGUGUGAAAAACUCCGGUGGUAUGGGAUGGACCCGCGUCUGAUUAGCUUGUUGGCGGGGUAACGGCCCACCAAGGCGACGAUCAGUAGCCGGCCUGAGAGGGUGGACGGCCACAUUGGGACUGAGACACGGCCCAAACUCCUACGGAAGGCAGCAG